AUGCAUCUCUGACAGACCUGGAGCAGUUAAUGACUGCUGCUAAGGUUUCCCACUACAGAUGCAAGAAAAAGAAGGUCCUGUGCUUUCUGUGUGUCUGGUUGUGGCAACCAAGAUUGAUUAGGGAAAUACAGGA
rnacentral:snoRNA from 1 species